rnacentral:lncRNA from 1 species
AAUUUCUAGUUAGGUAAUAACAACAGCAUUGAUAUUAACCAAAAAACUACUCCAUAUAUUAUGAUAAGGAAAAGGAAUUUAUUGUUGUAGAAAGCAACCAACAAAUCAACGCCUAAUCCUUAUCCACUCGUCCCCAUCUCUUUAUAUACACAUGUAUCAUUCCUCAGUGUCUCCAUCUCUCUUUCUCUCUCUCUCUAAAACGCAGAUAGAUGUAGUGCGGGCCGAGAGGUGAAAUGGGGGUCGAUUUCGGGCCAACAUCUGUGGGGAUCGGUGGAUUGGAAAUCGAAAUUGCUUUUGCCAUUGCUCUCUUCUUUUGAUUUCCAACUCCACCCAUUCCUAUGGAUUUUGGGAUUUCCCCUCAUUUCGUCUAUCUGUUUUCUUCUUCGCUUAUUUUACAUGUAAGGUAUAGUUCCUUUAUGUGAUUAACAUUUACUUUAGCUAAUUCAGAGUUUAAUGUCUUUCUAUUUUAUUUUCUCGGGAAAUUCUAUGUUUUGUGACUUGUGAGUAAUUCAUCUUUAAGAAAAAUGGUAGAGUAUACACAAAUACAACAGCGAGUCUGUACUUUCUCUCUCUAAAACAACAUAUCCAAUUAAUAAUUAUUGUAUUUUCGAGUAAUUUUUUCAUGACUUGUUAAUUGUAUAUUUAGUUAUUCACUUUACACUUAAUUGAGUUUAUAUUGAUUUUAUUUUUGAACUAAGAGUACUGCUAAAUGGACCGAUUUGAUCCGGAUCAAAAGCACUCACUAAUCAUUAUUAUCAUUAAACAAACUUAAAAAGACCUAACCCUUCCUUACUUUUUUGGCUUUUCGGCCCCAAAAUUUUAUAUGCGCAAUAAAAUGUGUAACUUCAAAACAGUAUGUGGAAGCAAAAAAAAAAAACAAUAUGUGGAACAUGUUCCUCAAUAUGUGAAACAAAAUGUAUGAUGAUGCCGAUCUUCUUUAAUUUAAUUUUUGAUCCUCACAGAUUUAUCGUUUAACUGAUUUAUUUAUUUUUAUUUUAUUCUUGUCGUGAGCUAAACCUAGCAUUUGAGAUCUCGUACGUUGUAGAGAGAAAUGAAUUUUGUUUUUAUCGUUUGAGCUGGAAUCAUGAAGCUCAAAUUGGGCGAUCCACAUUUAUUAUCAGUAUCACUAUCACACGUAAAGAAUUCAAAUUAACCGGGGUAUUCCUCCAAAAUAUGAAACUCUAGGCUCAUCAACAACGAUUUUCGAAACUAGAAAUUCUAAAAUUAAAUGAACAUGAUUUAAUGGGGUUUAAAUAAAUCAAUCCAUGUAUUUUUCCUUAAUUUUUCUUGUUCUCUUAAUAUUUAAAUUAGCAACUUUUGUUUAUAUAUGUAGUCUAUACCUUCUUUCAUAAAAAAAAAAAAAAAAAUCACUUCAUACCCACUCUCCAAUUCAAUGAGUCAGUUUGUCCAAAAUUAGCUAAUUACAUUUCAAAAGGGCUAUGGAUAAGUAUUUAUUCACAGUUGUUUCGCUUGUUAAUUCACGUUGCGAAACGGUAAAAAAAGCCACGAGGCUCUCGUGCGUAAUCUGACACGCUGCAAUUUUCCCUACCACCUUAUCCGAAUGUCGGUGGCCACGGAAAUUAAUAAAAUGGCAUCAGAGCUUUUUAUUUGAAAAUUAUUUUUGUUUAUUCAAUUAGACUUUUAAAGAAGGUGAGAGCUUCUUUGGAAAUGAAAAUAUGAACCUCGUGAUUGUGUCAUUGUGUGAGAUGUUAAAUGGCGUAUGCAGUUUUCUUGCUUUAGUUCAAAAAAAUGAAUUUGUAAUUUAUUUCAUUGUCUUAUUAUAUUAUGAUUAUGUUAGGCUUGUAAUUUUUUGAACUGUGUGGUUCAUUAUUGAGUUGCACCCUUCAUCCGCUUUUUGAUAAAAUUUUACGCACUAUAUUUUGGGAUCAACUAAGAAACCUACGAAGGACAACCAGCAUAUUCAUAGUCUAUAAAUAAAAAAUACAUGCAAGGAAGUUACUCCUAAGCUUUGAGAAAUCAUCUCAUAUUCGUCUAAAUUCUCCGAGGACUCGAGGAUAGAGCAAAAGAGAGUGAUUGCUAAAUAAUGCACUAAGAGCAUCCACAGCCGUUGGCUUGACGGUGGGCUCCCUGGGCCCCCCGAGGCACCAGACUCCACAGCUGUUGAGUCCCACCUUCAGGCCUAGCUCGCCGGAGGAUGUUGAGUCCCACCUUCAGGCAGGGGCGAAGCUAGGCCCCUAAAGACAAGGGGGGCAAAAUAUAAUAAAGAAAAUUUAAAAUAAUUUCUAUAAAAAUUAUUUAAUAAAAUAUUUUUACAAUAAUUCCCUACAACCACUCAUAUUUUGAAAGUGACGUAAUAUCAACUGUUUCAAUUUUUUUUUCUCAAUAUAAGUAACUAAACAAUCAUUCAUCAAACGAUCACCCAUUUGAUUUCGAAGCUGACUUUUGACAAUCUUCAUGACAGAAAAAGCUUUUUAUAUUUUCACAGUUGCAGUUGUCACAGGUAAAACAAGUGCAAAUUUAAUAAGAUUAUACAUCAAUAAAACACAAUAUCUCUUUUUGUCUUCAUCAUCUCCAUUGCAAGACUUCCUAAUUGGUACAAAUUUAACUUUUUUAUCUUCUUUCCGAUCUCCACGUUAGACAAAAGAAAAAAAAAUGUAGUUUAUCAAAGUCAACUUUUUUCCAAUCUCCAUAUUUUGCCCCUUUUUCUCAAAAUUUUGGUGGGGCAAACUCUUUUUUUUUAUAAUAAUUAUACACAUAUAUUAAUAUAAUAAGUAUACUAAUUUUUUUUUGAGGGGGGCAAUUGCCCCACCACCUCAUAGUGUGGCUCCGCCCAUGCCUUCAGGCCUAGCUCGCCCCAUCCUCCGGCGGUGCAACCAUGCGACUUUCUCUUUCCUCUUCCAGGCCCAGUGCGCAUGUGCAUGCCUCAACUUGAGCCGAUGAUCCUUCCGAUAGCAGAUCGCGCGAGUUGGGCUUGCGCCCACUCCGCAAGUCACGUUGUUGACGCUCUAACCUUGAUUUAAUUUCCAAGUUUAUUAUCAAUUUUGAAAUGUUUUCAACUAGUAGCAUGCAGAAGUUUUCGAUUUUUUUUUCUGCCCGCUUAACAUUGAAGAAUACAUACACCACAAAAAUCUAUGUGUCCCAUAAUAAUAUUUUUGGAGACAAAUUCUUUAAUAAAUAUGUUAUGCUAUGAUUUUGAGUCUUGAAAAAAUUGAAGUGUCUAAUUUGAUAUAUAUCGAAAAAUCGUAGCAUCAUAGAAACAUUUUAAAAUUGAAUUGAAAUUACAAUCGGAAUCAAAGUUAGCACGUUAUUAUUUAACAAUUAAUUACAGACGACCUCAGCUUCACUAGCUUUGCGCGUGGGUCAGGUCAGCCCGAAUUCGAUCCGAAUUCAACCCAAGUUCAUAUUCGAUCCGGAUCGAACUUGAGUUUUGGGAAGCACAGAGGAGUGCGGCUCUUAAUCCUAUAAUAACUUAUAAAGCGUGGUAAGAGUUACAAUCAAAUGUGGUGCGAUUUUAUCCCUUAAUCAUUUUAGCUUUGAAACUAAUCUACAUAAUUAUAUUCGUUUUGAAUUGAAAGACUAUCCGAAAGAGGGAGUCUUCUUUCGCAAUAAUUGUCGAUUGUUGCAGACUAAAAGUAGCACUCUAAACUAUUACUUGUAUUUAUUAAAAAAUUUUACAUAUUUUUUUGACUCACGCAAACAUAUAUACGAACCUCUUUAAAUGACCAGGGCCGUCUUAGGGCGGACGAGCAUGAGUGAUCGCACAGGGCCCAUCAUUUUUGGGGGCCUAAAAAACUUUAUAUCCUUUUAUAUACUCCCUCCGUCCCAUAAAUCUUGACACGUUUGGUUUCGGCACGGGAAUUAAGGAGUUGUAGAUUAGUAUUUUAAAUGUGUAAUUAAUAAAGUAUAAAAGUGAUAAAGUAUGAGAGAGAAUGUAAUAAAGGUGAUAAAAUAGGAGAGAGAAUGUAAUUAUAAAUGUGAUAAAGUAUGAGAUAGAAGGUAAUAAUUAUUACCCAAAAUGGAAACAUGUCAAGAUUCAUGGGACGGCCCAAAAAGGAAAACGUGUCAAGAUUUGUGGGACGGAUGGAGUAUAUUAUUAUUAUUAUUACAAGCCAACUUUUUUGUUUUUUUAUGUAUACCACUAAUAUUAAAAAAAAUGGGGCCCAAAAAAUUACACCUCAAAAGAAUUUUGGAGCCUAAUUAAAUUACAUUCCUAAAUAUUUUUAGAUAAUAGCGUGAUUGCACGAAAAUCUUUAAUUUUUUUUGCUGUUUGCUGAAGUUGAGGAUAUCAAUGAGAAUAGAGAUAACUCUGAGCGUGGAUGAUCACCUUCUUAAUAUGCCAAAUGACGAACAUAGAGUCAAUGAUGAACAUUUUAUUCCUUCAUGUGAUAUAUAUAAUCCGAGAAAUAGGGAUAAUAUUGAUAAUAAUGAAAGCGGUAUUUUAGUUGGAAAAUGGUCUAUUAUAGAAAUAAAUCUUGUAUUUUCUUUAGACAACAUCUGUAGGCAGUUUUUUUAUGCUCACUAUACUAGAAAAUUAAGCUAUGGUGAUGAGGUGCAAGAUCGAAAGUGGUUAGUAUAUAGUAAAAAUAUUUGUCAAAUACACAUUGAGAAAGUCGUAUUAAAAGUGUUCGAGCAAUUAGAUUUCAGAUUGUUGAAUUGAAAGAUGCUUUAUUAAAAUUAUGUGAUAUUUGUGUUGAUGCAAAGUCGAAAAGUGAAGCUGAAAGUUUAGCUGCAUCAAUUGAAAUUUUUGAAUUUUUACUUGGUAUGAUAUUUUAUUUGUUGUAAACAUGGUAAGUAAAAAUUUACAAUCAAAAUAUCUUUGCAAGUAUUAUAGAUGACUUAUCAUGGACGGAGGGAGUAUUAUUAAUUGACUUUGCAAGUACAAAAGGCAAGAAGAAGUCAUUUUUUAUUAAUUACUUAAUAUUUUUUUUAUUCGAAAUGUUAUAAUGUGACUUAAAAAAAGUAGUCAUCUUAUGUUUUUAUGAUGGUGGAUAGGGGCUCAUUUUUAUCGUUUCGCUCUGGGCCCAUUUUCAAUUGAAAACGGCACUAUAAGUCUGUAAGUGACUCGUAGCAUUUGCCCUUUUUUUUCACCUUAUUCUUAGCCUUUAAAAUCUUGAAGAUGGGAAUCAUAUUUUAUCCUUUUUCAGCAAAACAUGUCAAAUUCUCAAAAUAGUAGUGAUGAUAACUUAGUUACAAGUUCGCAAUGUAAGACAUAUCGUCACACAACUUAUAAAUUAACAUGUAUACUUAUUAUCUAAAUGGGAGUGCCAUAAUGUAAAAGGGGUUAUGAUGAUCGCUCAAAUUAGGUAGAAAAAUAAAUGAAGCAAUCUUUUGCAUCUGAUGACAUUAAUUCCAAAUUUUAAAAGUUAUAAGAAGAUGUAGCACCACUAAGACGUGACUGAAAGUGAUUUUAAGUUCAAGUGUCUCAUCUCUCCCGCCUAUUUUCCACAGCCAAUUAUAUAUCAAACUAAUAAUCAAAUGAAAUUCCAACAACUAUUAGGUGUGAGAUGAAAUCAUUGGGCAUACCAAUUCAUCAUCGCACACAACUACAUAACUCCCAAUCUUCAUAUAAUCACCCAAUCUGCACUACUUAGAACUACUUGUAAUAGCAAAAAAAAUAUUAUAAAAAAAAAAAUCGUAAUGAAUCAGAAAAUAUUGAAGUUCACCUUAUGGGCUAUCUUGCUAUCCAUGAUCUUUUCUCAUGCUGGUAAUGUCUACUCUUUCUUGAUGAUCUUUUCUCAUGCUGGUAAUGUCUACUCUUUCUUGAUGAUCUUUCUUAUGUAUCAAUCUUUGUUGUUUAAUUCGUCGUUGUUUGUAGCGUCGUACGACCCGUUGGAUCCAUUUGGGAACGUAACAAUCAAAUGGGACGUCAUAUCUUGGACUGCCGAUGGAUACGUGGUGAGCACAAUACGUUCCUAACCCUAACAACACAUUUUGAUUUCGUUUACAUGGCGCGUGACAAAAAUUGGGACGUGGAAUAGGCGUUAGUGACGAUGUUCAACUUCCAAAUGUAUCGACACAUGAUGAGCCCCGGGUGGACGCUGACGUGGGGUUGGGCGAAGAAGGAGGUGCUAUGGUCCAUGGUGGGUGCCCAAACCACGGAGCAAGGCGAUUGCUCCAAAUUCAAAGGAAAUGUGCCUCAUUGUUGCAAGAGGAACCCUACGGUUGUUGAUUUGCUCCCCGGUGUUCCCUACAACCAACAGAUUGCCAAUGCUGCAAAGGCGGGGUCGUGGCCUCGUGGGGCCAGGACCCCGCCUCCGCGGUCUCUGCCUUCCAGGUCAGCGUGGGCCUCUCCGGGACCACCAACAAGACCGUCAAGCUCCCCACCAACUUCACCCUCCUCGGCCCGGGCCCCGGCUACACUUGCGGCCCCGCCAAGAUCGUGCCCUCCACCGUCUACCUAACUCCGGACCGGAGGAGGAAAACUCAAGCUCUCAGUAAGCACUAAUCAAGAUCGGGUGAUGUGGUUGAUCUGAGCACGUAUACUAACUAAAAUAAUGGAUUUUACUUUUUUGCAGUGACGUGGAACGUGACGUGCACUUACUCGCAGCUCCUGGUGUCGAAGCACCCGAGCUGCUGCGUCUCGUUGUCGUCCUUCUACAACGAGACUAUCACUCCCUGCUCGAAAUGCGCCUGCGGCUGCCACAACAAGAAGGAGUGCAUCAAGUGAGACAUAAUUAAUC